rnacentral:lncRNA from 1 species
UGAGACGAUUAUUUGAGAUUACGCACAGAUUCGAUUUGAUUUUCCGCGCUUUCUUUGAUUCAGGAAUUGAUUAAGGAAUUAAUUAACGUUAUAAUAAAUUUUUCCCUCAUAAUUUUUGCAACAUGCUCGCGCUUAAAAAUCUCUAAAUCUUUUUUGACGUCACUUCUACGCGUCUUUUUCCAUUCAUUUGCUCGUCCAUUUCGCUGAGUAAUCAGGAUCGGAUAAUUCUCUUCGUUUCGCGGCAGUUGUCUCGCGGAAGUGGAUGUUACCUUAAUUACGUGCUUCAAGGCCAUCGAGGAAAUUCAAUUACGAUAAAAAAGUUCCUAUCAGUAUUACAAAUUAAGUGUAAUCUCGGCGCGAAGAAUAUCUCUUUCCGAUGUGUGCGGUCGUAUGGUUAUUCGCGUAAUCAAUUAUCCGUCGUGCGAGGUAUGAAUAAGUAAGAAAAACGAUAGCGAUCGUUUUCGCUUAACAGCCGGUCGUAGCGUUUUAUAGGCAUUGAUAACAGACUAUGACAGAUAUUACGUUCUAUGCAUGAUUUUUACGAUUUUUUGCAACGUGAGCGAAUUAAAACUCCUCGGAAUAAAUCUUUCCAGAAGUAAAACUGCAAAUAUAAUAAAACGAAUUUAAUCUGCACUUUUUCCUAUUUCUUGCUUAUAUAGAAUCAUCUUUUCUUCAAUUGCAUCGCUUAUUGCGGAACACUGAAUGACGGAAAAAACGGAAGAGGGACUGCGUCGAAGAAUUUUCUUACUUGAAGAGAAAAUCACGUACGAUAAUAAUAGCAAUAAGUCAUUCUAAUCAAUAUAUCGUUUCUCGGCGAGAAAAACAAACGUGCGAGCAUCGCAGCGCAUAGCUGGUUGUCCACGUGGCACUUGGGAACAGAAAUUACAGUCGAUCUGGCGCUUAACGAUAAUGCGCGUAACGUACGCGACGUAUAAUUCGCGCCGUGCGGAAAUGCCGAGUCGCGACGACGACGACAACGACGAUGGAAACGGCGAAUAGACGAUGUUGUGCACAGCCAUCCUGUGUCCCGCAAGCAACCGAGUGCAACCCUCGAUGGUUAUUUUAUCACCACGCGAGUUAAAACGGCAUACGAAAAAGGAGAAAGAUAAAGGUGAAAGGGCAGCAAGAGAGGGUAAGAUGCAAUGUCACAGUUCCAAGAAAGCCAAAAAGUCGGUCCUCGAAUGAAUCGAUUUAAUUCACCUCGCGAAAAUGUUCUUUGCAUUGGCGAUCGACUCACGUUCUACCUUUGACUCCGAUGCUAUGUACAAUAAAUAGCGAACUUUUACCGUAAUAAAUAUCAACGACCGUUAUAACAUGAUCGCGGAAAAAACUCUGACGUCGAACAUUUUCUAUAUACUUUACGAACUAUGAAUAAGUCGAAGAACAGAAAUAUCCCUGUGAAUAGCUUUGCGUAUAAUAUAUUAUCUGUAAUCUUUUCACGUGCAGUGCGCAUAUUAUAAAAGAACCUUCAUAGAGAUAGCAAGAAUGAUACUUUUCAUCUGUGCUUGACUCAACAAAGAUUUCAUCGGGCGCCAUGAAAUUUUUUCUCCGCAACUUUCAACGUUAAGUAUGUUGGCGUCGAAGUCUGAGCUUAUCAGAGCUAUAGUGAGUCAAAUAUCCGAGUCAAACGAAAUCCAGGAGUUCCGACAGCAAGCGAAUGAUCAAAUCAAAUAUUACCAGUCGUCAUAUUAAAAGCAAGACGGAUCUUUGCGAGGUGACAUCCACUUGCAAGUUUCGCGACAACAAGGAAGAAAGAGAAGCGGAGAAAGAGAGGGGAGCAAGAGGCGCGGGGAGAAGUCGAAACCGUAAAAGUCGUGCGGUGGAAACGAGUCUGGUGCAAUUACUACGAGGCUGGCUAUCCUCGGACCAGGAACGAACGACCAACCACGCCCUCGCUAAUGCGAGUCCGCGCGAGACAGGAUUUCGAAUUGGCUUGGCAAGGACGCCUGCUAUAUACAAUGCUCCUGCGGCACACAAAGACCGGCUACUGACAUUUUUUAAUUACACCCUGUUUAUGCGACCGAUCCGACUCGAUCCGACAUGCAGAGAGCAACACAUGCCGAGCUAUCUCCGACAAUAAGUUUCGCACGAUAUGGGCACGUGCUUUCCCGUAUCGGCGACCGAAAAUACGCACGAUAAUCUGGACAAAGGCUGAAACACGAGAGCAAGACGAUUGGAACGAGAAACUCUUGAAUUCGUUACUUUUUUCGCUAAAGACUGAUGGAAGGUUCAUUGAGAAUUGAAACCGAUAUAAAUUCAAAAAAUGCGAUUGCGGCGGUGUAUCAUAGGAGAUGGAAAAGUAUGUUUUUUCCUUGAUUGUAGAAAUUUUUAACAGUUUCUAAAGGAAUAUUCAAAUACUGAACGAUGAUGUGUAAAAAUAAAAAAGAAUGAAAAUAUCAUGU